ensembl:lncRNA
CUUUACAUUGUUUCUUCUCAAAUAGGGAAUGGGGAGAGCUCAGCUCUUGCAUCCUGACCCUCUCCUCUCCAUUGGAAGUGUGUGUUCCAGAAGUCAAAGACACUAAAAACAAAUUUAAAAUAGUCCAAACUUUUGCCAUGUGAAGGUCCUUAGUAAAGAAUUCUAUCUAAUUUACUUCCAUCUGUCCUGACCCAGCAUCUGUAAGACUCCUUAAUGUCUACGACUUGUGGUCUGAUUGUUCCCUGGUGUGCAGGAGUUAAACUAAGCUUUCAUUGGAUGGAGCAGUUACAACUGUGCCAGAGCUGGCCACACUAUAUAACCUUUGCAUCAUCACCUCCAUCGCCCACCUGCCCCUCCACCACCACACACAGCCCCAGCCUCCUCUGGCUACACCUUGUUCUUGGUCACAUAGUUCUAGCACAUGGAAAUAAAUUGGAGGUAGCAGCAUACCUCUUCUUCCUAAGAUCAUCUCCAUCAUCUUGUGACCAAAGGAGAAAAUAACUCCCCAGCUGUCAGUGGCUUUCUCAGCUGCCAACACAAGAACCUGAGCAUACAGAGGAAUUAAGGACAGAGAGUCAACAUGCACAUUUCUGCUUAUACCACGUGGGCUUCUGCUGGUGGUCAUGAUGCUUCCCAGUGGUGCUAGUGGUAAAGAACCCACCUGGCAAUCCAGGAGACGUGAGCUCGAUCCCUGGGUCAGGAAGAUCCCCUGGAGAAGGAAAUGGCAACCCACUCUAGUAUUCUUGCCUAGAGGAUCCCCCGGACAGAGGAGCCUGGUGGGCUACAAUCCAUAGUGUUGCAGAGUCAGACAUGACUGAAGCACUCAACUACACAAACUCUUUUAGUGUCAUGAAAACUCAUAUUUUAAAAUCAAAUUAACUGUAUUUUUCUUUAUUUCAACUUCUAUACCUCAAAAAAGAUUCUAGUGCCUGAUUUUUCCUGAAUUUGGGAAUACUGCUUAAAUACUGAUGUGGUCAUUAAAAAAGAUUGCAAAGAAAAGUAACUAUAAUCAUAACCCUAUUGUAAUCUAAAAACAACUCAUGUCAGGAAGUACUGUGUGGCUGAAAUAUUUAGUCAUUGCCUCCUUGAUCAUGUCUAGCAAGAACUUGAAUAAAACUUACAAAGAACAGCAGUGACAUAAGC